AGAGUUUGAUCCUGGCUCAGGAUGAACGCUAGCGGCAGGCCUAAUACAUGCAAGUCGGACGGGAUUGGGGAGCUUGCUCCCCAUGAGAGUGGCGCACGGGUGCGUAACACGUAUGUAACCUACCUUUAUCAGGGGAUAGCCUCUCGAAAGAGAGAUUAAGCCCGCAUAAAAUCACACUACGGCAUCGUAGAAUGAUCAAA
rnacentral:rRNA from 1 species